rnacentral:lncRNA from 1 species
GGGCGGAGACGGCCGCCGCACUACUGACGAUCGCGUCGUGUUGUAAUCGUACGUGGUGCGUGCGUGCCCAUUGUUGUGAACUUGUGAUACCUACCAGUGUUGCCACGUGUAAUUCAGGGGCAUGUUCGGUUGUGUACCUACCAAUUCUUGAGAGUGUCAAAAUUUGGCUAAAUUUUGAUACUACUAAUUUAUAUUGGUAGGUUAUAGUUGUAUUUGAAAAAAAUACUAAUAAUAUGGAGCCAAAUUUUAAACAGGGUGAAAAAAAUUAUAGAAUUACACCAAACUGAUUAGGGGUAUUAAUAACAAUUUGGCUUCAAACCAAACCAUCAUAUCCAGUAUUUACACAAUUUGAAAUCGAUCCAAAUGGGCCCUUUGCCCAAAUGUUGUGUGUCUUAAAAAGUAAUUUGGGCCUGAAUACUACUCGGUGUCACAAUGGGCCGAGAAUGGCAAUUACCGGAGCCCAUGAUCCGUUGGGCCAGAUUUUGUGAGGCUCAAACUGCAACGCCGCUACCACCUUGGCUUGUUCGUCUCCGC